UACAUCCACACUUUCUGUAACUCCACUCAGCAUUACAAACACCACCACAACACCCUCACAAGAUAACAGCAGCACUUCAGACUUCUCCAUUACUGCCAGUGCAGCCCCCGACACAGCCAACGCUACCAUUACUUACCCACCACUCAAUAUCACCACACCUUCAUCUUCCAAUGCCACUGCUUCUACAGAAGACAGCAUGGGGAGCAACAGCACUACGGAAGCCAGCGUGGGAAACAACAGCACUACAACUUCACCAGGAACCACCAUCC
ensembl:lncRNA